rnacentral:ribozyme from 1 species
AGCCGGCUGCGGGCAACAGUCGGAGCCGGCUCCGGAGCCGUUUGUUCGGAGCCGGCUCCGGAACCGUUGGUGCGCUCCGGAACGCACAUCACUACUAGAUAUCCAAGCUUGGGUACACGGGGAAACUCACCCCCUUGGGCGGAUGGGCGGCAAGGCUGAAUUGAGAGGU